rnacentral:lncRNA from 1 species
AUUUCGGGUCAGGAUUCCGCUUCCGACAGCAUCUGGGGCCCGAAAUAAAACCAAUUCCUCCUCACAACUCCACAAUCCAAUUUUCGAAUCGAAAUUUGCAUUCUGCUGGACUGGUCACACAUAUUUUGCUGCUAAUGCUAAUGUGUUUGUCACUCGAAGGCAGACGGCGCCUUCCUUCGCUCCCACUUAACCUCCAGCCUGUUAAUGCUAGUCCUGAAAACAUUGUGGCCAAAAUCAUUGAAUAUUUUCAUAUCGAGUAUUUCUAUUCGCCUUGGCAGCCAUGACAAAAUCAGCUUAGUUGCAUCCAAGUACGAGUACGAGUACGGGUGUGGGUAUGUUCAUGGGGUAAAGAGGUUUCGCCGGGGUGUAAAUCUCAGUUGCACGUUCUCGAGAUAUGCAUCUGGUUUGACAAUGUUGUCGGAUUUGUCUUGGCUGCAGCCUCCACCGCUCUUUGUAUUAGUCAGAUUGGAAGCUGACAUAAGCUUGUUAUCAGAUCGCCAGCAGGAACAAGUCUUGUCUUCCAUUUGCUUGAAGCAGGUGAGUAAUUUAAUUUAUUCCAAAAUAUGUUUCCCAUUUCCCAUUUGCCUGAGUUUACAAUAGUUUUAUUCUGGGAUAAAUCACACGUGAGAUUACUUUAAUGCUUGCUUUGCCAUUCUGCACAGGAACCACUGAUACGUUCAAUCCUCAUACAUAAAAUAUGCCUUUAGAUAUUUAUUCAAGCUAUAUCUGAUAACAGUAGGAGUAUCUGCAGCAGCAACUCUGUGACUAAUGGCUGAUCACAAUAAUCAACAUCUUUGGAAUAGCAGAAGGGCAUCAAGCCAGAGUAGCAGCUGUGUACAUAAAAAUGACAUCAAACAUGAACUGAAGCAACAUCAACACCACGAGUUACAGCAAAAACCACAGCUGCAACAACUCCAUAAGAAGCUCCUCCCACAGACCCAUUUUUCAGGCCAACAAAUGCAUUUACAUUAUUUUUACUUAUUUUACAUAAAUCAGCUGCAAAUUACAUAAAUCGGUGAGCUCGCCUAACGCUGUAUACAAAAUAUUACAAUAUCUUCGUAUUAUAAAGGAAACUAGAAGCACGUAUUGCAAAAUAUUCAGAGAAGUAAAUGGAAUGCAGAAACCACUCGGAUACUCUUACCAGAAUAUCAACUGUAAUUCUCAUUAUUUAAGAGUCUACCAACAGUGACAGAACAGAGAUGUUCGAAUAUAUAUACCAAUCUAUACAUAAAAAUGUACAUGAAAUAUGCAUAUAUAUAUAUAUAUAUAUAGAGGCGAGUGUUUUCCUGCUUCUGCUGAUCUUCUUUUUAGCCAGUUUUGCAUUCGCUUGUUGUACAUACAAUUUUGUUGUACUGCUGCUGCUGCUGCUGCUGCUGUGGCUAAGGC